CCCCUCUCAGGGUCGCACCCGGAGAGUUGCCAGUACCCUCCCGGUCACAACUACGGGAGGGCGAGUCAAGCAGAGGCCUGCCCAUUCCAUUCCUAGCUUGGCCGGUAGCUAGCGAGUGGAAGACAAUCUGCUACAAGC
rfam:Ornithorhynchus anatinus chromosome X5, whole genome shotgun sequence.